GACGAACGCUGGCGGCAUGCCUAACACAUGCAAGUCGAACGAAACGUUCGGGUCUAGGGGCGCAGGGGGGGGGGAGACGGGGGGAGCAGCCCGUAGGUUAGGAAUAACUCACUGAGGGAUGACCUAAGAAAAGUGAGUGUAAUCGCGGAAAGGAGUUAUCGCUGUUGGAUGGGCGUGCGUUGGAUUAGGCGGUUGGUAGGGGAAAAGCCGACCAAGGGGACGAUCCAUGGCUGGUGGGAGAGGAUGCCCUGCCACACUGGGACUGAGACACGGCCCAGACUCCUACGGGAGGCAGCAGUAGGGUAUAUUAGGCGAUGGGCGAUAGCCUGAUCCAGCCGUGCCGCGGGAGUGAUGAAUGCCUUAGUGUUGUAAAUCUCUUUUACCCGAGAUGAUAAUGACAGUACCGGGUGAAUAAGCUCCGGCUAACUCCGUG
rnacentral:rRNA from 1 species